rnacentral:rRNA from 1 species
CUUGCCCGGGAACUACGAGCCCCAGCUUAAAACCCAAAGGACUUGGCGGUGCUUUAGACCCCCCUAGAGGAGCCUGUUCUGGAACCGAUAAUCCCCGUUAAACCUUACCCUCUCUUGUUUUUCCCGCCUAUAUACCGCCGUCGUCAGCUCACCCUAUGAAGGGCACACAGUGAGCACAAUUAGUAAUACCCAAAACGCCAGGUCGAGGUGUAGCGUACGAGAGGGGAAGAAAUGGGCUACAUUCACUGACUCAGUGAACCACGGACGAUAAUUUGAAAUAAAUAUCUUAAGGAGGAUUUAGCAGUAAGGGGCAAAUAGAGUGUCCCCCUGAAACCGGCCCUGAAGCGCGCACACACCGCCCGUCACUCUCCCCGAAAAAAAAGUUAACAUAAAUAAAACCCAAUAAAAAAUAAGGGGAGGCAAGUCGUAACAUGGUAAGUGUACCGGAAGGUGCACUUGGACAAAC